rnacentral:rRNA from 1 species
GGUUAAGUGACUAAGCGUACACGGUGGAUGCCUUGGCAGUCAGAGGCGAUGAAGGACGUAGUAACUUGCGAUAAGCGUAGAUGAGGCAGUAACAGCCACUUGAGUCUACGAUUUCCGAAUGGGGAAACCCACUGGCAUAAGCCAGUAUCAUUGAGUGAAUACAUAGCUCAAUGAAGCGAACCGGGAGAACUGAAACAUCUAAGUACCCCGAGGAAAAGAAAUCAACCGAGAUUCCGAAAGUAGCGGCGAGCGAAAUUGGAUUAGCCCUUAAGCUUUACAUGUGUUAGACGAACGGUCUGGAAAGUCCGACGAUACAGGGUGAUAGUCCCGUAGUUGUAGAUGCAUGUUCAGUGAAAUCGAGUAGGGCGGGACACGUGUUAUCCUGUCUGAAUAUGGGGGGACCAUCCUCCAAGGCUAAAUACUCCUGACUGACCGAUAGUGAACCAGUACCGUGAGGGAAAGGCGAAAAGAACCCCUGUGAGGGGAGUGAAAUAGAACCUGAAACCGUGUACGUACAAGCAGUAGGAGCACCUUCGUGGUGUGACUGCGUACCUUUUGUAUAAUGGGUCAGCGACUUAUAUUCAGUGGCAAGGUUAACCAUCUAGGGGAGCCGUAGGGAAACCGAGUCUUAACUGGGCGCCAUAGUCUCUGGAUAUAGACCCGAAACCGAGUGAUCUAGCCAUGGGCAGGUUGAAGGUUGAGUAACAUCAACUGGAGGACCGAACCGACUAAUGUUGAAAAAUUAGCGGAUGACUUGUGGCUAGGGGUGAAAGGCCAAUCAAACUCGGAGAUAGCUGGUUCUCCCCGAAAGCUAUUUAGGUAGCGCCUCGGACGAAUACUACUGGGGGUAGAGCACUGUUAAGGCUAGGGGGUCAUCCCGACUUACCAACCCUUUGCAAACUCCGAAUACCAGUAAGUACUAUCCGGGAGACACACGGCGGGUGCUAACGUCCGUCGUGGAGAGGGAAACAACCCAGACCGCCAGCUAAGGUCCCAAAUUACAGCUAAGUGGGAAACGAUGUGGGAAGGCUUAGACAGCUAGGAUGUUGGCUUAGAAGCAGCCAUCAUUUAAAGAAAGCGUAAUAGCUCACUAGUCGAGUCGGCCUGCGCGGAAGAUGUAACGGGGCUAAGUUGUAAACCGAAGCUGCGGCAAU